rnacentral:rRNA from 1 species
UCCACGCAGUAAACGAUGAAUGUUAGUCGUUGGGCCUCUAGUAGAUUCAGUGAUGCAGUUAACACAUUAAACAUUCCGCCUGGGGAGUACGGUCGCAAGAUUAAAACUCAAAGGAAUAGACGGGGACCCGCACAAGUGGUGGAGCAUGUGGUUUAAUUCGAAAAUACGCGAAGAACCUUACCUAGCCUUGACAUUGAUAGAAUCUUCCAGAGAUUGAGGAGUGCCUUUCGGGG